CGAUGAUGGCACUGCUUGCAAUGAUAUUGAUGAAUGCGUGGUGGAUACAACGCUCUGUGCAAAUGGAAUGUGUUCGAACACAGUUGGCUAUUACACCUGUAGCGCGUGUAACUCUGGAUAUGAAUUAAACGAUGAUGGCACUGCUUGCAAUGAUAUUGAUGAAUGCGUGGUGGAUACAACGCUCUGUGCAAAUGGAAUGUGUUCGAACACAGUUGGCUAUUACACCUGUAGCGCGUGUAACUCUGGAUAUGAAUUAAACGAUGAUGGCACUGCUUGCAAUGAUAUUGAUGAAUGCGUGGUGGAUACAACGCUCUGUGCAAAUGGAAUGUGUUCGAACACAGUUGGCUAUUACACCUGUAGCGCGUGUAACUCUGGAUAUGAAUUAAACGAUGAUGGCACUGCUU